GGCGGCAUGGCUCAGGAGGUAGAGCGUCUAGGCUAGGAAUCGGAAGAUUCCUGGUUCGAUCCCCGGGUCCUCCA